UGAUCCUGGCUCAGGAUGAACGCUAGCUACAGGCUUAACACAUGCAAGUCGAGGGGCAUCAGUUUGGUUUGCUUGCAGACCAAAGCUGGCGACCGGCGCACGGGCGAGUAACACGUAUCCAACCUACCUCAUACUCGGGGAUAGCCUUUCGAAAGAAAGAUUAAUAUCCGAUAGCAUAUAUUUCCCGCAUGGGUUUUAUAUUAAAGAAAUUCGGUAUGAGAUGGGGAUGCGUUCCAUUAGUUUGUUGGGGGGGUAACGGCCCACCAAGACUACGAUGGAUAGGGGUUCUGAGAGGAAGGUCCCCCACAUUGGAACUGAGACACGGUCCAAACUCCUACGGGAGGCAGCAGUGAGGAAUAUUGGUCAAUGGACGCGAGUCUGAACCAGCCAAGUAGCGUGAAGGAUGACUGCCCUAUGGGUUGUAAACUUCUUUUAUAUGGGAAUAAAGUGGUCCACGUGUGGACUUUUGUAUGUACCAUAUGAAUAAGGAUCGGCUAACUCCGUGCCAGCAGCCGCGGUAAUACGGAGGAUCCGAGCGUUAUCCGGAUUUAUUGGGUUUAAAGGGAGCGUAGGCGGAUUGUUAAGUCAGUUGUGAAAGUUUGCGGCUCAACCGUAAAAUUGCAGUUGAUACUGGCAGUCUUGAGUGCAGUAGAGGUGGGCGGAAUUCGUGGUGUAGCGGUGAAAUGCUUAGAUAUCACGAAGAACUCCGAUUGCGAAGGCAGCUCACUGGAGUGUGACUGACGCUGAUGCUCGAAAGUGUGGGUAUCAAACAGGAUUAGAUACCCUGGUAGUCCACACAGUAAACGAUGAAUACUCGCUGUUUGCGAUAUACAGUAAGCGGCCAAGCGAAAGCAUUAAGUAUUCCACCUGGGGAGUACGCCGGCAACGGUGAAACUCAAAGGAAUUGACGGAAGGGCGAAUCCAGCACACU
rnacentral:rRNA from 1 species